rnacentral:rRNA from 1 species
AGUGAACGCUGGCGGUAGACCUAACACAUGCAAGUCGAACGGCAGCACAGUAAGAGCUUGCUCUUACGGGUGGCGAGUGGCGGACGGGUGAGGAAUGCAUCGGAAUCUACUUUUUCGUGGGGGAUAACGUAGGGAAACUUACGCUAAUACCGCAUACGACCUACGGGUGAAAGCAGGGGAUCUUCGGACCUUGCGCGAUUGAAUGAGCCGAUGUCGGAUUAGCUAGUUGGCGGGGUAAAGGCCCACCAAGGCGACGAUCCGUAGCUGGUCUGAGAGGAUGAUCAGCCACACUGGAACUGAGACACGGUCCAGACUCCUACGGGAGGCAGCAGUGGGGAAUAUUGGACAAUGGGCGCAAGCCUGAUCCAGCCAUACCGCGUGGGUGAAGAAGGCCUUCGGGUUGUAAAGCCCUUUUGUUGGGAAAGAAAAGCAGCAGGUUAAUACCCCGCUGUUCUGACGGUACCCAAAGAAUAGGCACCGGCUAACUUCGUG